UACUUUUUUUUUUUUUUUUUUUAAACUGCAUCAGUGACACGAAGACGCGCACACGUGUCCUGCAACACAUCCUGAGAGUCUGCAGGCGUGGCUGCGAGCUUCUGCAUCUCAGAGGUUUGCCCGUUUUGUAUUCAUGUAUACAUAUACAGUAUAUAUAUAUAUAUAUGUGUGUGUGAGCGUGUGUGUGUUGUCUCUGGUGUGUGGGGAUUUGGGAAAGAGCAGAGUAAAUGUUUCUGGAUAGAAGACUACAGACCAGCAGACAGCAGGAAAAGAGAGUCGAGGAGUUUGAGGAGAGGAGAGGGGUGAGGGAGGUGAGGCCGAGGGAGAUGGGGAGGAAGAAGUGGAGGAGGGCGUCUGAGCGGAGAGGGAGGGAUGGAGAGAUAAACCGCGAGGCUUCACCUCAGGAUCUUGAUUUAAAAAAAAAAAAAGAAAAAGAAAGAUAGAGUCUUGCGUCCCCUUCCCGCUCUCCUCUGUUCUCAAGUUUAGCCAGUUUUUAUACACAUAAUGACACAACUGUUGACAUUCCUCCAGGUUUUCAGCAGGGUCCCUACACAGGAAAAAUCCACCCUCUGCUGCUUAAACUGCUAUCCGACGCUGAAAUACACUUUUUUGUCUUAAAUUGGCCACUUUCCCAUCAGCUUCUAGAUAUUUUUUGACACUGCAAUGGAUUAAAUUUCAGCCUAAAUGCAAACGCUGCCACAUGUAGUGAUGAACCCACAGGAAUUCUUUUCACCAGUUCAGUUUGACUUUUUUUUUUUAGCAUCCUUAAGCUCAUUACCUUCUUUUAAGCCUUUUGUUUAGCUGCUAAAAAGCUAAAUGUUUCCCCGAAGA